rnacentral:lncRNA from 1 species
CUGGGACUUAACAGCCAUUGCUGAGGGAUGUUAAACACUGAAGUACCUGGUGAAAAAGAGCUCCAGGGUUACCAUGACAACUACAGAAGUCCUCUAAUUUCCACCUUCUGUGUGAGGAUCAGAAUCAGAACCUUAUUUACAGGCACAGAGGUUAAAACUCUCAGGAGGAACUACCAGCCAGGCUGUCCCUAUGAUAUCAAAGCCCAGGCUGGGGCUCAGAAUCAGCAAUUGGAUGAAACCAAAAGGUGCAUAGCUCACCGAGUUCAUUGGGACCAGCUUCUUCCCACACAAUCCUCUGAAUUCACCCCUCCCUCCACAUUGUUCCCGUGUCUCCUUUUGGCUCCCAGCUGAAUCGGUUGUCAUCAGGUGCCCUAUGCAAGGCACAAUGGAAGAACCAGACCUGUCCCUGCACCGGGCUAUGUGCAACUCUCUGCCUACCAGUGACCUCCUUCACACUUUCCACAACCCUCAGACCCACCUGCAUUUCCCCU